AACGAACGUUGGCGGCGUGGAUUAGGCAUGCAAGUCGAACGAGAAAGUUUCCUUCGGGAAGCGAGUACAGUGGCGAACGGGUGAGUAACGCGUGGGAAACCUGCCUUGGUGUGGGGGAUAACAUCCUUAACGGGGUGCUAAUACCGCAUAAAUCGGAGUGUCGCAUGGCACUCUGGGAAAGAUGGCCUCUCCUCGGAAGCUGUCGCAUUGAGAUGGUCCCGCGUCCUAUUAGCUUGAUGGUGGGGUAACGGCCUACCAUGGCGACGAUAGGUAGCCGGCCUGAGAGGGUGUCCGGCCACACUGGGACUGAGAUACGGCCCAG
rnacentral:rRNA from 1 species